GUUUGGGUAACUUAAAUUAAAGUUUAAUAUUGAAGCUAUUAAUAUAAGAGUUAUCUCUUUCCAGACA
rnacentral:tRNA from 1 species